UGUUUGAGAAACAAAUUCUUCAUGAUACUCACUCUUCUGAGGGUAUUUUCUUUUCAUGGCCCAAUCUUGUUUCACCGGUACAUUCGCUGCUUCCUCCCUACCAUAUCAUCAUGGCCAUCACUGUUCUUUUGGAAUGCAGGGCCACUUCAGUCUCCAAGAGAACUGAUUCUUAUGUCGGAAUUCUCUCUAAGCCAAUCUGUUCAGCAUACUUUGACACGAAUGAAUGGCCUCACCAGGGUGGACCAGUUCAGAGAAGGCUGACUAAGGAAGCAAAGAGCCUGGAAAUCAGAACAAGAGAAGAUUUUGCAGGCUUGGGACAAGUGUCUUCAAUGAUUUAAAGGAUAAACCAGAACUUUUCAAAUGAGUAAACAUCAGGUAAACAUGGAAAGAGACAGUCUGGACAGGCUGAGGGGAUGGCACUGAAGACCCUGCAGUUUUCCAACUGGCUAAUCAGACCCCUGGGAAGAAGGAAUGCUUUUCGGGGUACCUGGCCCAGCAAGCAGAGGGUCCUCAAGGAUUUUUGUCUGUCUUGGUUGUCUGUCGUAUCUCGUGUCUAGAACACAGAACUCACAGUAAGUAGGCACUUCAAUCAAUUACCUGUAGAAUGAACGGACUGAAUGUCACCUUGUUAGAGUACCCUCCUGACCACACUCUGCUAAGCAGUAAUCUUUUAUUUCUCUUUCCCAGUUUUAUUUUUCCUCAUUUACACUUAAUCACCUUGUGACACCUAUUUGUUUACUGUUUCCCCAGUAGAGUGAAAGUCACUUUAACAGCAGAGAUUUAAAUGUAUUUUAAUCCCUACAAAGGAGAAAAAGGGAGGAAAUACGUGACAGGCUCUCAAUAAGUAUUUGCGAAGGAUUUAAUCUCUUGAACGAAUGGAUGAAUGAAUCUAGCAGCCAGC
rnacentral:lncRNA from 1 species